CAAGCCAGCACCUCUCAUCAGCAUCACCUCGAACUGCUGCACCUCCAGCCAUUACGGUCUGAGGACUAACCUAACGCCACAAGCGCAUGGCCCAGUCAGCUCCCAGCAGCCCCGCUAAGAGCACAAGCGCCUUUGGAGGGAUAUUAAGAUGAAGAAUACAAGCCAGAGAGGGGAAUCACAGUGAGACUUGGACUGGGCAUUCCUUCUCCAAUUCAUUAUGCCAAGCUGAAUGGUCGCAUUGAUGCCUAUGCACAUCCAUUUGACCACCUGAUAGAAGAAUGCGAUUCUG